UGUCACCUCUGUGGCAUGUCCUGAGUGUCUCCUCUCCAAGCCAGUGCCCUAGCAGUCAUACAAGAAGAGCUUCCUAGGCAAUCCUUGAACUUGACUGAAUUCUGAUGCUGAAUUUUUCAUCUGCAGAUCUUCCAAGGAAGCAUAGCACGCAUGCAAUGCAUAGAGACCCUCGGGACCAAGGCCCCAGGAUGCAAAAGGAAGGAUGCCUAGAAGGAUGAGCCGCUGGUCGGUAACCUUAGUCACAGCCAUAAAGUCCUUCCAUCAACUAGAGAAGAACGCACAGAGCUGGCUCUCCAUCACAGGAUCAUGACAGAGCUCCUCCUGGCUCCAGGUGGAAAAAAGACUCAGCAGCUGGAUCUAGACUUGAAUGUGCGUCUUCACCCUGUGCUGACUGGAGUCUUCAAAGUCACUCUCUUCAAGGGGUCUGCAAGAAACCGCCCACUGAAAAGGAACGCGGCAAAAGCAGAUGUGGUGUGCUUGUGUGUCUGCACGAUGCAUACCCCAGA